rnacentral:rRNA from 1 species
UACGGGGGGGGCAAGCGUUGUUCGGAAUUACUGGGCGUAAAGGGCUCGUAGGCGGCCAACUAAGUCAGACGUGAAAUCCCUCGGCUUAACCGGGGAACUGCGUCUGAUACUGGAUGGCUUGAAUCCGGGAGAGGGAUGCGGAAUUCCAGGUGUAGCGGUGAAAUGCGUAGAUACUGGGAGGAACACCGGUGGCGAAGGCGGCUACCUGGACCGGUUCUGACGCUGAUGCGCGAAAGCGUGGGUAGCAAACAGG